GUGCUUGCUUCAGCAGCACAUCUAUUAAAAUUGAAAUGAUAAUGGAGAUUAACAUGGCCCCCACACAAGGAUGACAUGCAAAUUCAUGAAGCAUUCCAUAUUUAA
ensembl:snRNA U6 U6 spliceosomal RNA